CUUUGACAAAUUAGGACUAGCAUCUAGCUCUCUCUCUGCUCUCACUCCCACUUAGACAAAUAAGGGUUUUUCUUCGAAUCAUCUCCUCAAAGACUUCUCCAUCACUUUCUUCGCAGUCCCUUCCCAGAAACCUAGACUCCUCUUAAACAUAGCGCUUUGGCUCUCUCUCUCUCUCUCUAGCUCUCAUCAUCCCCAGUUUUGCUUCUCUCUCUUUAACUCCACUUAAUGGCUCCGACACCUUCUUCCACCAAAUCCAAUCAAAACCCUAAAUCCAAAACCCCAUAAUCCCUUCAUCGUCUGUAGUUCUUAAAAGCCCACUUGUCUCCAAACCCCAACUUAACCCUAAAAGAAUCUCUGUCGGAGCACUCGGUGGAAGUCUUCGCUCGAAUUUGGGUCUGGGCGUAACACUCACUGAUACGUCUCGGGUGACGCCGGAGCUGGUUGACUAAAGGUUCCAUUGAGACUGUAAUUGAGCGACGACGACUCCAUUCAACUUUGAUAUAGGUCCGAUCCUUGUCCAAGACCCAACCUUUUCCACCGUAGACUGCAAUACCUUUAUCGCCUUCGUCUCAUAGCUCGAGGUUAGGGUUUGUUCUUCGUAGAUGUCUUUUUUUACUUUUUUUUUUUUGGUAUGUGAAUUUUUGUUUGCAUGGCUCUGUUGUAUUCGUUCAUCUAAUGAUUCUUGUAUGAGUUUGAUUUAUCUAAUGGCCUUCUUUAUGUAUUAAUAGUAUGAGUUUGUGCUGUUUGCUAUUUUCAAUUGUGGACGGGUCUCAUGGAUUUUUCUAUUUGGGGCUCUUAAGGUUUCAUGAAAGGAUUGAGAGCUUGGUUGUGUUGGGUUUCAUUUACUCAGAAAGGAUAUAACUUGGUUUAGAUUUGGUUCAAAUUUAGGGAUAAUUUGAUAUUUUGCAGCAGAGAAAGCUAUGGAGGUGGGAAGAGAUGAAACAGCUUCUUCUUGUCUUAUAAACAAUCUUGAUGAUGGUUGCCUCGUGCACAUCUUUAGCAUUGAUUCUCAUGAGUCUUGCAAUAGGCCAAUAUUUGGGGGUUGCUUCAAUUUGGAAUUUUGCAUUGAUUCUCUGUUUGGCUAAUUGAUAUUGUGCAAUUGCUUUGUUUUGUUGGGCUGUAGUAUUUUGAAGGUUUGAGAUAUGUGUUAUUUUUUUUGUGGUGAAUCUGCAAUUGAUAAAGAAAUAGUAUUGAUGAGACUAAGGCUUCUAUUCUUAACAAGUUACAGACUUUGUACGUCUAGUUACACUUCAUACUUCAAGUUACACACUUUCCUGGUACUUCAAGUUACACACUUUCGUGGUUGACAUGUAAUUUGAGACCAGCGUCACUUAUCUCCUCUAACCCGUUCCUCUGUAUGCCUUAUUGUGCUCCUUGAUUAAUUUUCCAGCUUCGCUGUGGUCAUGGACUUCUUGGUAUCUUUGCCUGCCUUGAGGGUGCAGCUGCUAUGCAUUUCUAGGACUUCAGUACUGAGGUCCUGCAAUGUCUCACAAUACCCGAUGUAAAUGCAAAUGUUCCAAGCUUCUAACCCCCAGCAUUGGUGAAGAAAGAUGGUGUUCUGGUGUCUAGCAUGGUUCCUGAGGUUUGCAGAUGGCUCAUCUAAUGUCUGACAGCUUUGAGGGUGUUUGAGGCUUCUACAGGGGAAUUACACCAAACCUUCUCAAAAAUGUUCCUGCUGCUUCAAUAACAUUUAUUGCAUUACCAGAUCUAGAGAUUAUUCAAUUGCAGAGAACGGUUUCCUUCCCUUGGCUUGUUAACUAAUAUUACAUCACGGUGGUGACGGAAGCAGAAGAAAAAAAAGAAAAAAAGAGGUGCAAGAGCAGGCAUUAGUAGUGGCCAAAGUGGACAAGCAAUCAUAAAUAGUCCAAUAAUCACUGAUCCAUUUGAAGCACACUUAUGUUUUUGUCCCUGAUGCAAUGUAAUUAAGACAUAAAUUGUCAUUGAUUCAUGACUUUGUGGAAUAAUGACUAAUACAAAUGUAUCUUGGUGAAUCCAAUGUAUUUUGAAGUUUAAAGUAUG